AUUUUUCUUGCGCUGGACGGUUGGAGGCGGAUGAUUGGAAAAGCUCCAGGUCCAGGUCGACUCGGAAAUAGUGGGCGCAUUGUUGAUACUCUUCAGGCGUUCGUUCAGAUAUCGGUUCGGAAUCGGAGGUCGGCUUUAGUUCAGUUGAAGUCGAAAAAUAAAUAUCCACGCUCCCCCACCAGACUCGAGUCGAAAGUGAAAUCCAACGUGAACGGUAAAUCAAACGCAAAGCGGCGACGACGCGCAAGAAAUAUUUUUUGAAUGGAUAGCAGCUGGAACGUGGCGACAAAACACGGUCCACAACUCCACUCCAAACAAAUCAAAUUCAAUUGCAAGUUUUAUUCAAAUCCCCAUUCAGUAAUUAGUAUCGCGGGCAGAUACUAAAGUGUCUAACAGUUCAAAACCCCAAAAAAAAGUGCAAUAAAGUUGAAAAAGCCAUCGAGCCAUUGGAGAAUUCCGUCGAGAAGAGUUUCGAGAUCUUAAAGCUUUCUAAGAUCUUCAGUUGGGAAACUCUAAGGGGAGUCUACUAGUUGUUGUUUUAGACUUCCUCGGAGAUUGCGCAAGAACAGGCCUUUCUGUUUCGGACAAGUUGGCCCCAACAACCGAAACAAAUGCAAAUGUGCGCUCCAAAGAC
rnacentral:sRNA from 1 species